rnacentral:rRNA from 1 species
GAUGAACGCUGGCGGCGUGCCUAAUACAUGCAAGUAGAACGCUGAAGCUUGGUGCUUGCACCGAGCGGAUGAGUUGCGAACGGGUGAGUAACGCGUAGGUAACCUGCCUCUUAGCGGGGGAUAACUAUUGGAAACGAUAGCUAAUACCGCAUAAAAGUCGAUAUCGCAUGAUAUUGAUUUGAAAGGUGCAAUUGCAUCACUAAGAGAUGGACCUGCGUUGUAUUAGCUAGUUGGUGAGGUAACGGCUCACCAAGGCGACGAUACAUAGCCGACCUGAGAGGGUGAUCGGCCACACUGGGACUGAGACACGGCCCAGACUCCUACGGGAGGCAGCAGUAGGGAAUCUUCGGCAAUGGGGGCAACCCUGACCGAGCAACGCCGCGUGAGUGAAGAAGGUUUUCGGAUCGUAAAGCUCUGUUGUAAGUCAAGAACGAGUGUGAGA